rnacentral:rRNA from 1 species
AUACGGAGGAUCCAAGCGUUAUCCGGAUUUAUUGGGUUUAAAGGGUGCGUAGGCGGACUGGUAAGUCAGAUGUGAAAGUUUGCGGCUUAACCGUAAAAUUGCAGUUGAUACUGUCAGUCUUGAGUGUGCAUGAGGUGGGCGGACUUUGUGGUGUAGCGGUGAAAUGCUUAGAUAUCACGAGGAACUCCAAUUGCGAAGGCAGCUCACUGGGGCAUAACUGACGCUGAUGCGCGAAGGUGUGGGUAUCAAACAGGAUUAGAUACCCUGGUAGUCCACACAGUAAACUAUGAAUACUCGCUGUUUGCGAUAUACAGUAAGCGGCCAAGCGAAAGCAUUAAGUAUUCCACCUGGGGAGUACGCCGGCAACGGUGAAACUCAAAUGAAUUGACGGGG